rnacentral:lncRNA from 1 species
ACCAUUUAUUGUCUUUGAUUUAUGAGUAUAUCUCAGAUUUAUAUUUUUCUUUCAAUCAGGUUUGUAAAUUUAAAAGGAAAAGUUAACAUCUAAAAGGACAUUUAAUGGAGCUUACACCUUCAUCUCUAUUUUAAGGUGCAUAGGGACACAGAUUAAUUUGUUGGAGGUCUUCAGCAUGACUCCUUUGUAUCUCUGGGCCAACCGUGUCAUUGAUAUGUAUCGUCCAGAGAAUGCC